AUCAGAUAAUAAAACUCUAUUAGAAAAUGCUAGAUGUUGAAGGUAGCGAGAAAGAGAAUCUUGAAGAAGAAAUAGGUGUUUUGAGAAGUCAGUUAUUGCAUAUGAGUAUGGAAGUUGAUGAGACAAGAAGUCUUGAUAAAGGAGAUGGACCCAAAAAAAUUUCCUGGUUUAGAUUCAUUGGUGUCCUAGACUCGAGGUUCGCAACCCAGAGAGCAGAGCAAUGGACUGAAGCAACCAAUUGCCAAAUUCUUUGAACAAGGUAUUAGUUAUUUAUUCUUUUAUAUGACCUGCUUGAUCUGCCUACUUCCUGUAAUUUUGUAGAUGGUGUGCAAAAGGAUUUAUUGUCCUAGCAAGUUCAGCUUUCUCAUAAAUUAAAAUA